rnacentral:lncRNA from 1 species
UAGAUAUAUGAUUCAAAAUAUAUAAUCACUCAAGUUUGGAGAAAGGAAUUUAAAACAUGCCUUUAAGGAUGGCAAAGGAAAUAGUCGAGUGUGGGUUGAUUUUGAUAUUGUGUGAGGUCGUUUUUUUGGCAAUGUGCCAAUGAUCCCUUCACCAGCGAGAGAACAUCCCUUGGAUUUCCAUCCAAUGAUCCAAAAGAGACGGGUGCAUCCGAUGCACAAAUUGCUUCGGUGCACUAGAUACGUUCUGUCCUUCGUGGUUCCGUCAACAUGACAUAUAAUCCAAAUUCUUUGGGUUGGGCUUAAUUGUAUGAUAUUUACAUACCAAUUAUGUUGCUCACAGUAUAUUAUUUGCCAACAUUGUGCAAAUGGUUUCCACCAAAGAACAUGCAGUAUUCUUUUAAAAAUUAUGAUAGGUUAUACUAUUCUCGUGCUUCCUCAUUUCUCUUAAUUUUUCGGGAAAUGGAAUAGCCAUUGCUUGCCACUCAAGUAGUGUAUGUGCAAAAAAAAAGGUUUUAUAGCUCUUGAAUCCUUGAUAGUUGUGUUCUUCUUUUAUGCCUUUAAUAACAUGAACAAACAUAUGUUCUGGUGAUGGUCAGGAUCAACUCACUAGCGCUCAGAAGUAACAUGAUUUGUAAGCCAGAUUCACAUGCUCUUCUCAAGCCUUCAACAAGUCGAUAUUAUUUUCUGCUAUGGAGUGCAAACUAUACAGAUGAUUUUUCUAUUCAACAAUUUUGUGUGGAAAAGGAUACCACUUUUUGGCUGGGCCAAGUGCCCCGUUUCUUGUUCAGUUAGGACCUCUUCACUAUGAUUGUAACUUGUACACUUGUAAAAUAAAUAGCACAUGGGUUGAUUAUCGGAG